AGUUUGAUCUGGCUCAGGAUGAACGCUGGCGGUAUGCUUAACACAUGCAAGUCGAACGGAACCUUCGGGUUUAGUGGCGGACGGGUGAGCAACGCGUGAGAAUCUGCCUCUAGGUCGGGGACAACAACUGGAAACGGUUGCUAAUACCCGAUGUGCAGCAAUGUGAAAGAUUUAUUGCCUAGAGAUGAGCUCGCGUCUGAUUAGCUAGUAGGUGUGGUAAUGGCGCACCUAGGCGACGAUCAGUAACUGGUCUGAGAGGAUGACCAGUCACACUGGGACUGAGACACGGCCCAGACUCCUACGGGAGGCAGCAGUGGGGAAUUUUCCGCAAUGGGCGAAAGCCUGACGGAGCAAUACCGCGUGAGGGACGAAGGCUUUUGGGUCGUAAACCUCUUUUCCCUGAGAAGAAGAUCUGACGGUAUCAGGGGGAUCAGCAUCGGCUAACUUCGUGCCAACAGCCGCGGUAAUACGAGGGAUGCAAGCGUUAUCCGGAAUUAUUGGGCGUAAAGCGUCCGCAGGUGGCUCUGUAAGUCUGUCGUUAAAGAAUGGGGCUCAACCCCAUACAGGCGAUGGAAACUACAAGGCUAGAGUUUGGUAGGGGUCACGGGAAUUCUUAGUGUAGCGGUGAAAUGCGUAGAUAUUAAGAAGAACACCAGCGGCGAAAGCGCGUGACUGGGCCAGUACUGACACUCAUGGACGAAAGCUAGGGGAGCGAAAGGGAUUAGAUACCCCUGUAGUCCUA
rnacentral:rRNA from 1 species